UCCUAACCGCUAAAGCUGUGUGUGGCUAGCAGAAACACACUUCCUUGAGCAGAAGUGAAUAAAGAAAAAUGUGUUUUGAAUGAGAACUAAAUCUACAAAGCCCUGUCAGGCGGUUCUCUCCACACAACCUAAGUUUUGUGUUGUUGUGAACUGAGUUUCCCCGCUUCCUGGAGUAGUCAUUAACAUUCUACUAGCCGAGCUAACAGCUGAUGCUCCUGACCUGCUCCUGACGUGCUGAGCUAACACCUGAUUCUCCUGACAGCUUAUGCUCCUGACGUCUCUGUCACAACCAUAGACUGUAUAUAAAAGUAUAUAUUACAACCAGUGGCCAUAAUUUCCCAUUCCAGAGGAGUAGCAGAUCAUUCUGACAGCUUUAUCCAGCCUGGACAUGCUGCAAACACAGGUCAAAGGUCGUAAUAGAUGAUCAUGACGGGGACAGAGGACAGGAGGGACAUUGGGAUAAAUGCAAAGGAGGAAACGAGAGCGAAGAAACAACAACAGAGAAACAAAUUACCAUGGUGAAUUAUCAUGGUAAUAGAGACGCUGCAGGCGA